CAAAACUAUAUUUUUCAGAACUUCCAAAAUAAAUUAAAAAAGUUAUUUUACCAAUAUUGAUUAGUUAGUGAAUAUUAAAAACGUUAAGUAACCGGAAAUGGUUUUAACAAAAAGCGGUAGGAUAUAUACAAAGUUGAUUAUUAAUUAUUGUCUACGCGUUUUCUUUUGGUUGCUUAUUUUUUAAGCAUUUAUUAGCAUCAAAUAAAGUUUAAUCAAAAUAUAUUUCAAAGUGUUUUGUGAUGAAUUCUAAUGAAGUUGGUAAAGGUUCGUCAGAUGUCAGGGAAACAACCCAAAGAAUGUUUUUUGAUCUAUUGCAGAGCCAAAUUUUAUCAAACAUGAAUGAGAAAUUAUUAUUUUUAGAACAUUACGUAUUAGCAAAAGAUAAUUACUAAGACGAACAAAUAAAAGAAGUAAAACAUAGUUUAUCGCAAUUUAGUUACGAGUUAAAACAAAGAUGGUCAAUAGCAAAGAG